rnacentral:rRNA from 2 species
UUUGCCUUUUGUGAUACGCUUUCAAAGAGUCAGGUUGUUUGGGAAUGCAGCCUAAAUUGGGUGGUAAAUCUCACCUAAAGCUAAAUAUUGGCGAGAAACCGAUAGCGAACAAGUACCGUGAGGGAAAGAUGAAAAGAACUUUGAAAAGAGAGUUAAACAGUAUGUGAAAUUGUUAAAAGGGAACCGUUUGGAGCCAGACUGGCUUGUCUGUAAUCAAUCUAGGCUUCGGCCUGGAUGCACUUGCAGGCUAUGCCUGCCAACGACAAUUUGACUUGAGGGAAAAAACUAAGGGAAAUGUGGCCCACUUGUGGGUGUUAUAGUCCCUUAGAAAAUACCUUGGGUUGGAUUGAGGAACGCAGCGAAUGCUUUUUGGCGAGUUUUCCAGGAAGGUUUUCUGAGGUACUACGGUAUCAAGGUUGAUCUU